rnacentral:rRNA from 1 species
GACGAACGCUGGCGGCGUGCUUAACACAUGCAAGUCGAACGGAAAGGCCCUGCUUUUGUGGGGUGCUCGAGUGGCGAACGGGUGAGUAACACGUGAGUAACCUGCCCUUGACUUUGGGAUAACUUCAGGAAACUGGGGCUAAUACCGGAUAGGAGCUCCUGCUGCAUGGUGGGGGUUGGAAAGUUUCGGCGGUUGGGGAUGGACUCGCGGCUUAUCAGCUUGUUGGUGGGGUAGUGGCUUACCAAGGCUUUGACGGGUAGCCGGCCUGAGAGGGUGACCGGCCACAUUGGGACUGAGAUACGGCCCAGACUCCUACGGGAGGCAGCAGUGGGGAAUAUUGCACAAUGGGCGGAAGCCUGAUGCAGCAACGCCGCAUGCGGGAUGACGGCCUUCGGGUUGUAAACCGCUUUCGCCUGUGACGAAGCGUGAGUGACGGUAAUGGGUAAAGAAGCACCGGCUAACUACG